rnacentral:rRNA from 1 species
AGAGUUUGAUCCUGGCUCAGAGCGAACGCUGGCGGCAGGCUUAACACAUGCAAGUCGAACGGGCAUAGCAAUAUGUCAGUGGCAGACGGGUGAGUAACACGUGGGAACAUACCUUUUGGUUCGGAACAACUGAGGGAAACUUCAGCUAAUACCGGAUAAGCCCUUACGGGGAAAGAUUUAUCGCCGAAAGAUUGGCCCGCGUCUGAUUAGCUAGUUGGUGUGGUAACGGCUCACCAAGGCGACGAUCAGUAGCUGGUCUGAGAGGAUGAUCAGCCCCACUGGGACUGAGACACGGCCCAGACUCCUACGGGAGGCAGCAGUGGGGAAUAUUGGACAAUGGGCGAAAGCCUGAUCCAGCCAUGCCGCGUGAGUGAUGAAGGCCCUAGGGUUG